rnacentral:lncRNA from 10 species
AGAGCCACACAGAGAGCCACACAGAAUACUGCUGGCUCUAUUUGUCUUGGGGUUCCACAGUCAUCUUAACACUUGAGGGUUUAGAGAAAUGUCCUCUUUCUCUUUCCUUUUAAAGUCUUUUUCUUCUUCCAUCUUCAUCUGGGACACCUAGCACUAUUCCUACAAUGGUCUCAGAUCAAGGAUGUCAGGAAUGAAGGGGAAAUAAAGACCCUCUCAGAUGAAGAAACACUAAGAGAAUUUGUCACCAGUAGACCAUUCCUAAAGGAAGUCCCUGAAACAGAAAGGAAGUGAUUAAAGAAAGAAUCUUGGAACAUCAAAAAGAAAUAACAGGAAGAACAGAAAUAUGGGUAAAUAACGUACAUUAUUCUCUUCUUGACUUUUAGAUUAUAAUUGAUGGUUAAAGCAAAAGAUAUAAGUGUGGUGUGAUUCUCAACAUAUAUAGAGUAAAUAUAUAAGGUAACUAUAUUAUAAAUAGAGGUUUAUGAGGACUUUCAUUAAAGGACUUUAAUAGAGGUGAGGUUUGUACCCUUCAUUCAAACUUGUCUGUAUCUUG